rnacentral:rRNA from 1 species
UGCUGUGAACUCGAAGAGUAGGGCGGGACACGUGGUAUCCUGUCUGAAUAUGGGGGGACCAUCCUCCAAGGCUAAAUACUCCUGACUGACCGAUAGUGAACCAGUACCGUGAGGGAAAGGCGAAAAGAACCCCGGCGAGGGGAGUGAAAAAGAACCUGAAACCGUGUACGUACAAGCAGUGGGAGCCUCUUUAUGGGGUGACUGCGUACCUUUUGUAUAAUGGGUCAGCGACUUAUAUUCUGUAGCAAGGUUAACCGUAUAGGGGAGCCGAAGGGAAACCGAGUCUUAACUGGGCGUUAAGUUGCAGGGUAUAGACCCGAAACCCGGUGAUCUAGCCAUGGGCAGGUUGAAGGUUGGGUAACACUAACUGGAGGACCGAACCGACUAAUGUUGAAAAAUUAGCGGAACCGGGAGAUAGCUGGUUCUCCCCGAAAGCUAUUUAGGUAGCGCCUCGUGAACUCAUCUUCGGGGGUAGAGCACUGUUUCGGCUAGGGGGCCAUCCCGGCUUACCAACCCGAUGCAAACUACGAAUACCGAAGAAUGUUAUCACGGGAGACACACGGCGGGUGCUAACGUCCGUCGUGAAGAGGGAAACAACCCAGACCGCCAGCUAAGGUCCCAAAGUCAUGGUUAAGUGGGAAACGAUGUGGGAAGGCACAGACAGCCAGGAUGUUGGCUUAGAAGNNNNNNNNNNNNNNNNNNNNNNNNNNNNNNNNNNNNNNNNNNNNNNGUUGUUGGGUAGGGGAGCGUUCUGUAAGCCGUUGAAGGUGUGCUGUGAGGCAUGCUGGAGGUAUCAGAAGUGCGAAUGCUGACAUAAGUAACGAUAAAGCGGGUGAAAAGCCCGCUCGCCGGAAGACCAAGGGUUCCUGUCCAACGUUAAUCGGGGCAGGGUGAGUCGACCCCUAAGGCGAGGCCGAAAGGCGUAGUCGAUGGGAAACAGGUUAAUAUUCCUGUACUUGGUGUUACUGCGAAGGGGGGACGGAGAAGGCUAUGUCAGCCGGGCGACGGUUGUCCCGGUUUAAGCAUGUAGGCGGAGGUUCCAGGUAAAUCCGGUACGUCAGCCGGGCGACGGUUGUCCCGGUUUAAGCAUGUAGGCGGAGGUUCCAGGUGAAUCCGGUACCUUGUUAACGCUGAGGUGUGAUGACGAGGCACUACGGUGCUGAAGUGAUAAAUGCCCUGCUGCCAGGAAAAGCCUCUAAGCAUCAGGUAACACGAAAUCGUACCCCAAACCGACACAGGUGGUCAGGUAGAGAAUACCAAGGCGCUUGAGAGAACUCGGGUAUGGUGCCGUAACUUCGGGAGAAGGCACGCUGAUGUGUAGGUGAAGCCCCUGCGGGUGGAGCUGAAAUCAGUCGAAGAUACCAGCUGGCUGCAACUGUUUAUUAAAAACACAGCACUGUGCAAACACGAAAGUGGACGUAUACGGUGUGACGCCUGCCCGGUGCCGGAAGGUUAAUUGAUGGGGUUAGCGGCAACGCGAAGCUCUUGAUCGAAGCCCCGGUAAACGGCGGCCGUAACUAUAACGGUCCUAAGGUAGCGAAAUUCCUUGUCGGGUAAGUUCCGACCUGCACGAAUGGCGUAAUGAUGGCCAGGCUGUCUCCACCCGAGACUCAGUGAAAUUGAACUCGCUGUGAAGAUGCAGUGUACCCGCGGCAAGACGGAAAGACCCCGUGAACCUUUACUAUAGCUUGACACUGAACACUGGUCCUUGAUGUGUAGGAUAGGUGGGAGGCUUUGAAGCGUGGACGCCAGUCUGCGUGGAGCCCCGUAAUCCGGGUUGCGGACAGUGUCUGGUGGGUAGUUUGACUGGGGCGGUCUCCUCCCAAAGAGUAACGGAGGAGCACGAAGGUUGGCUAAUCCUGGUCGGACAUCAGGAGGUUAGUGCAAUGGCAUAAGCCAGCUUGACUGCGAGCGUGACGGCGCGAGCAGGUGCGAAAGCAGGUCAUAGUGAUCCGGUGGUUCUGAAUGGAAGGGCCAUCGCUCAACGGAUAAAAGGUACUCCGGGGAUAACAGGCUGAUACCGCCCAAGAGUUCAUAUCGACGGCGGUGUUUGGCACCUCGAUGUCGGCUCAUCACAUCCUGGGGCUGAAGUAGGUCCCAAGGGUAUGGCUGUUCGCCAUUUAAAGUGGUACGCGAGCUGGGUUUAGAACGUCGUGAGACAGUUCGGUCCCUAUCUGCCGUGGGCGGGAGAAUUGAGGGGGGCUGCUCCUAGUACGAGAGGACCGGAGUGGACGCAUCACUGGUGUUCGGGUUGUCAUGCCAAUGGCACUGCCCGGUAGCUAAAUGCGGAAGAGAUAAGUGCUGAAAGCAUCUAAGCACGAAACUUGCCCCGAGAUGAGUUCUCCCUGAGAC